UACGUAGGGUGCGAGCGUUAAUCGGAAUUACUGGGCGUAAAGCGUGCGUAGGCGGUUUGCCGUGUCCUGUGUGAAAGCCCCCGGGCUCAACCUGGGAAUUGCAUGGGAAACUGGCAGGCUUGAGUGUGGCAGAGGAGGGUGGAAUUCCGCGUGUAGCAGUGAAAUGCGUAGAGAUCCGGAGGAACACCAGUGGCGAAGGCGACACGCUGGGCCGUACCUGACACUGAUGCGCGACAGCAUGGGGAGCAAACAGG
rnacentral:rRNA from 1 species